GAUGAACGCUAGCUACAGGCUUAACACAUGCAAGUCGAGGGGAAACGAUAUUGGAAGCUUGCUUCUGAUAGGCGUCGACCGGCGCACGGGUGAGUAACGCGUAUCCAACCUGCCCAUCACUUGGGGAUAACCUUGUGAAAGUAAGACUAAUACCCAAUGACGUCUCUAGAAGACAUCUGAAAGAGAUUAAAGAUUUAUCGGUGAUGGAUGGGGAUGCGUCUGAUUAGCUUGUUGGCGGGGUAACGGCCCACCAAGGCGACGAUCAGUAGGGGUUCUGAGAGGAAGGUCCCCCACAUUGGAACUGAGACACGGUCCAAACUCCUACGGGAGGCAGCAGUGAGGAAUAUUGGUCCAAUGGGACGAGAGUCUGGAACCAGCCAACGUAGCGUGCAGGAUGACGGCCCUAUGGGUUGUAAACUGCUUUAU
rnacentral:rRNA from 1 species